GGAAAAUUUCACUAAUAAACAAUUUAUGAGUCAAAAUUACAUAUUCAUAGGACAUAUUUUAAAUUACAAACCUGCGGCCCAACAAAUCAUGGCCCAACUAUAAAAGAGGCUGGAUAUUCUCUUUCAGCUCUGUUUGGAUUGAGAAGGUAACGCCCAUUAAUUUCUCCUCCAAAUCCUUGCGAAGAUUUUGUUGGAAGAUUUUUCAUGAUUUUCUCCAAUAUACAAUCGUAUAUGGCAGUAAAAUCGUGAUUUCAGGUUCUUCGAUUUCUCCGUCCAAUCCUGCAUUCCUUCAAAUCUGCAUGUAGAUUUUGCUAGACUUUUUCCUUGAUUAUUAGUGAUUUUCAGAGAUUCUUGGAUCAAAAGUAUCACCUUUCUUGUGUGGAUGAGAAUUGUGAUUGGAGUUUCAAAUCUUCUGCCGUGCACAUGGGAAAAAUAUUCAAAGUGAGGCAUUUCAAUAAUGUUCAUACAUAUUCAUUUUCUGAAAGAUACUUAAUGCAACGUCAAGCUACUUCGAUUUUAGUUUCUGGUUUUGUUGUGGAUAAACUUUCUGAUUCGAAAAGAUAAUACACUCCAAAGGAUAUAAUAGGUGACAUGCAACAGGAACACGGCGUUAAGUUGAACUACAUGAAAGUGUGGAGAGCUAAAGAAAAUGCAAUGGAAAUAAUAAGAGGGAAACCUAGUGUAUCUUAUGGGGAGUUGCCGUCAUACUUGUAUAUGUUGGAGUACACAAAUCCAGAAAUGGUUACAAGGUUGCAUAAGUCGAAUGAGGGACGCUUCCUUUAUGCAUUUGUUUCCCUGUAUUCAUCUAUCAAGGGUUGGGAAUAUUGUAGGCCAAUAAUGGUGGUUGAUAGGAGCUUUCUCAAAGCAGCAUAUAGGGGGACUAUUUUGACUACUUGCAUACUGGACGCAGCUGGGAAUAUCCUACCGCUAGCCUAUGCACUCGUCGACUCAGAAAAUGAUGCAUCUUGGGGAUGGUUCUUCAUGCAACUGAAGAAUACUUUUAGGGUUAGGGAAGGAAUGUGUAUUAUUUCGGAUAGACAUGAUAGCAUUCAGAAUGCAACAUCAACUGUUUACCCGGAAGUGCCUCAUUGUUUUUGCAUCUACCAUUUGUGGAACAAUGUCAAGGCACUAUUAGGAAAAAUAAGGAAAAAAGGAGACCGAUCUUUUUUGCUUUGGCUAAGGCUUACACCACUGAAAGGUUUGAACGCUACAUCAACGAAUUGAAUAAAUUUGAUCGGCGAGUGCAGCCUUACUUGUUUAAUGUUGGGUAUGAACGGUGGUCUAGAGUAAUCUAUAGAGUGAAAAGGACAAUUUUCAUGACCUCCGAUAUCGCUGAGUCAAUGAAUUCGACAAACAAUUUGCAAGAGAGCUUCUAGUAGGAUGCUUGCUGGAGCUUUUGACAAAGUUGAUGACACAAUGGAGCUAUGAAAAUAGGAAACAUGCAACGAAGUCUACAGAGCUUGGCAAAAUGUACAACAAGAUGUUGAAGAAAAAUAUGAUUGCAUCACAGAACAUGACGGCGAUACCUUCUAUAGACCAGUUGUACACAGUGGUUGGUUAAAGGGAAAAGGAUAAACAUAGUGGACCUCGGAGAGGGAAUAUGAAGUUGUAAGAGAUUUCAAAUGAA